UAGGAAUUUUUCUUCUGAUAUAUUUUAAACUCUCAACAUUUGAUUGAGUUUGACAAACUAUAUUGGGAACCUAUUAGGUGUCAGGCUCCACACACAGUACUUCAGAUCCCAAGGCAGAUAAGAUGUGCUUGCUGGUCUCAAAUAAGUCUCCGUGGAAUUUAGAAUAUUUGUGGGUAGGAGGUAGUGGGAUGGGUGAAAGCCUAGGGGAGGGGCA
rnacentral:lncRNA from 1 species